rnacentral:rRNA from 1 species
UACAGAGGGUGCAAGCAUUGUCCGGAUUUAUUGGGCGUAAAGCGUUUCGUAGGCGGAUUUGCAAGUUAUUUUUCAAAUACCAAGGCUCAACCUUGGAAAGGGGAAUAAUACUACAAGUCUUGAAUUGUAUCGGGGUUUUCGGAACUUGCGGUGUAGGGGUGAAAUCCGUUGAUAUCGCAAGGAACACCAAGGGCGAAGGCAGAAAACUAGGUACCAAUUAACGCUGAGGAACGACAGCUAGGGGAGCGAAAGGG